AUGGAUGGCGAGCAUGGUGAACGGCGAGCUGCCAUCAUGGAUGGCGAGCAUGGUGAACGGCGAGCUGCGAGGACGGCGCGUCGUGGCUUGCUGCAACCCGUGCCCAGGAGAGCUGCCAUCAUGGAUGGCGAGCAUGGUGAACGGCGAGCUGCGAGGACGGCGGCGCUCGCGCUGCAGACAUGGCGGAGGCAUUGCAGAACCUGCCGCAUGCCCUCAUGCUACAACCGUUUAACCAAAAUGCUUCAAACCAAGAUGAAAAAAGCUUCAACCAGAUACAUCAAAAGCUGCAAGCAGUCAUUGCCAUGGCGGAGUGCUACAACCGUCGACAUAAAAUGCUACAACCCUUGA
rnacentral:rRNA from 1 species